CCGAGCGGUAGCACAGAGAAGCUUGCUCUCGGGUGACGAGCGGCGGACGGGUGAGUAAUGUCUGGGAAACUGCCUGAUGGAGGGGGAUAACUACUGGAAACGGUAGCUAAUACCGCAUAACGUCGCAAGACCAAAGUGGGGGACCUUCGGGCCUCAGCCAUCAGAUGUGCCCAGAUGGGAUUAGCUAGUAGGUGGGGUAACGGCUCACCUAGGCGACGAUCCCUAGCUGGUCUGAGAGGAUGACCAGCCACACUGGAACUGAGACACGGUCCAGACUCCUACGGGAGGCAGCAGUGGGGAAUAUUGCACAAUGGGCGCAAGCCUGAUGCAGCCAUGCCGCGUGUGUGAAGAAGGCCUUCGGGUUGUAAAGCACUUUCAGCGGGGAGGAAGGCGUUAAGGUUAAUAACCUUGGCGAUUGACGUUACCCGCAGAAGAAGCACCGGCUAACUCCGUGCCAGCAGCCGCGGUAAUACGGAGGGUGCAAGCGUUAAUCGGAAUUACUGGGCGUAAAGCGCACGCAGGCGGUCUGUCAAGUCGGAUGUGAAAUCCCCGGGCUCAACCUGGGAACUGCAUUCGAAACUGGCAGGCUAGAGUCUUGUAGAGGGGGGUAGAAUUCCAGGUGUAGCGGUGAAAUGCGUAGAGAUCUGGAGGAAUACCGGUGGCGAAGGCGGCCCCCUGGACAAAGACUGACGCUCAGGUGCGAAAGCGUGGGGAGCAAACAGGGAUUAGAUACCCUGGUAGUCCACGCCGUAAACGAUGUCGAUUUGGAGGUUGUGCCCUUGAGGCGUGGCUUCCGGAGCUAACGCGUUAAAUCGACCGCCUGGGGAGUACGGCCGCAAGGUUAAAAACUCAAAUGAAUUGACGGGGGCCCGCACAAGCGGUGGAGCAUGUGGUUUAAUUUCGAUUGCAACGCGAAGAACCUUACCUUGGUCUUGACAUCCACAGAACUUUCCAGAGAUGGGAUUGGUUGCUCUUCGGGAACUGUGAGACAGGUGCUGCAUGGCUUGUCGUCAAGCCUCCGUGCUUGUGAAAUGUUUGGGGUUAAGGUUCCCCCGCAACCGAGGCGCCAACCCUUUAUCC
rnacentral:rRNA from 1 species